AAACACAGCAGGGGCAAUCCAUCCGGUCCACGGAGAAGUGCUAAACCCCAAAGGAUCCGGCUGGCCCUGGAGCGCGAUGUUAGUGAGGACUAUGAGGCGGCCUUCAACCACUAUCAGAAUGGCGUGGACGUGCUGCUCCGUGGCAUACACGUUGACCCCAACAAGGAGCGACGUGAGGCUGUGAAGCUGAAAAUUACCAAAUACCUGCGGCGGGCAGAGGAGAUCUUCAACUGCCACCUGCAGCGGCCACUGAGCAGUGGAGCCAGCCCCAGCGCGGGUUUCAGCAGCCUGAGGCUCCGGCCCAUUCGCACGCUGAGCUCUGCCGUGGAGCAGCUGAGGGGCUGCAGGGUGGUCGGGGUCAUCGAGAAGGUGCAGCUGGUCCAGGACCCGGCAACCGGAGGGACCUUUGUGGUGAAGAGCCUACCCAGGUGCCACAUGGUGAGCA
rnacentral:sRNA from 1 species